UUUAGCAGUAGGGAAUCUUCCACAAUGGGCGCAAGCCUGAUGGAGCAACGCCGCGUGAGUGAUGAAGGGUUUCGGCUCGUAAAGCUCUGUUAUAGGAGAAGAACGUCAGUGAGAGUAACUGUUCACGCAGUGACGGUAUCCAACCAGAAAGUCACGGCUAAAUACGUGCCAGCAGCCGCGGUAAUACGUAGGUGGCAAGCGUUAUCCGGAUUUAUUGGGCGUAAAGCGAGCGCAGGCGGUGAUUAAGUCUGAAGGAAAGCCUUCAGCUCACACGUAAGGAGUGCACUCUUGGAAACCUGGCGACUGAUCAGGCCC
rnacentral:rRNA from 2 species